GAGCUUGCUCUUCUUGGAUGAGUUGCGAACGGGUGAGUAACGCGUAGGUAACCUGCCUUGUAGCGGGGGAUAACUAUUGGAAACGAUAGCUAAUACCGCAUAACAAUGGAUGACACAUGUCAUUUAUUUGAAAGGGGCAAUUGCUCCACUACAAGAUGGACCUGCGUUGUAUUAGCUAGUAGGUGAGGUAACGGCUCACCUAGGCGACGAUACAUAGCCGACCUGAGAGGGUGAUCGGCCACACUGGGACUGAGACACGGCCCAGACUCCUACGGGAGGCAGCAGUAGGGAAUCUUCGGCAAUGGGGGCAACCCUGACCGAGCAACGCCGCGUGAGUGAAGAAGGUUUUCGGAUCGUAAAGCUCUGUUGUAAGUCAAGAACGAGUGUGAGAGUGGAAAGUUCACACUGUGACGGUAGCUUACCAGAAAGGGACGGCUAACUACGUGCCAGCAGCCGCGGUAAUACGUAGGUCCCGAGCGUUGUCCGGAUUUAUUGGGCGUAAAGCGAGCGCAGGCGGUUUGAUAAGUCUGAAGUUAAAGGCUGUGGCUCAACCAUAGUUCGCUUUGGAAACUGUCAAACUUGAGUGCAGAAGGGGAGAGUGGAAUUCCAUGUGUAGCGGUGAAAUGCGUAGAUAUAUGGAGGAACACCGGUGGCGAAAGCGGCUCUCUGGUCUGUAACUGACGCUGAG
rnacentral:rRNA from 1 species